rnacentral:lncRNA from 1 species
GAUAUAUUUAAAGCAAUAUCCACUACAAAAGAAAAUACAUAUGCAGUAACAGUCUAUGAGAAUGAUUUUGACAAGACAUCAUCAUCGAUCAUCAGUUAUACACAGACAGAUAGCGCUGUUGAACGUCAAAGUAAGAUUACUUGAUUUUUCUAAAUUUGCUAUGCUUAACGCAUUCUGACAUAACUGCUUAUAUCUUAUCAUAAUUUGAUUCCAGUGGCUAAACAUGCUGAAUAUUCAUGAACCAAAUGUUGCUUACCUGUUAUCUCAUUUAGAAGACAAACUGCAUAGUUUUAAUUUUACAUUGAUGUCAUUGUUUACUUGCACAUGUUAAACAAAUCAACAAAUUGCAGAAAUUAAAAUUUUGAUGAACGAGAAAUAUACUUACACCAUUUUGAGCUAAAAUUUAUUUGUUCAUGAAUUUGCAUUAAAAAUUGAGAAUGAAUGUGCUAUUUCGGGUCUUCAAAUUGCUCAUUGUCAAAUGCUGAACGAUGAACUAAAAUUGUUUGUUCACUUGUGGAGAGUUGUCGCAUUGGCAAUCAUAUCACAUCUUUUAUUAUAAUUAUUUAAGAUUUUUAGAAACUCUGGGGUUAUUUUUGGCAGCAGUUGUCUUUAGAACGGUCGCUUUUUGUUUAAAGACUUUAACAUUGGUUAAAAAUUGGCAUGUAGAAAGGUGAGGUUUGUACAAUUUAGGAUAUACCUGGCUCUACGAAGUUAAACUCAAGGUUCAAAAUGACUUGUCCAUGAGUUUGCAUUAAAACAUUGAGACAUACAGGGGUUAUUUUUUUUUUCAAAGAAUCACUAAUUUUUGGGACAAGACUUUAAACAUUGAUUGAAAAUUGGCAUGUACAAAGAUAAAACAUGACUAUUUCUAUGAUUCAGGAUAUACCUGAAUUCUAUAAAAUUAAACUUCAGGUUGAAUAUUAAGCUGAAGAAGCUGAGGAAAUAAAAAAAAACAUAGCUUGUAUUAUUGAUAUUGAUUUUAGAAGUGGGAAUUUUGUUUUAAUGAUACAAUAAGCCUCAUUGACCUGUGAUUUAAGAAAAUUCAAACCCCAUUUGCUUCUUGUCUGUCGUGGUAAAAUUCCAGGAAACGAAUGUCGUUUGCAGUGUUCUUCAAAAAUACAUAUAAAUAAACAACCUUUACCAAAAUAAUUAUUAUGCCAUAAACCUAAUCGAGCAAUUAUUCCUUUUCAGAUUUCACUGAAAUUCAUAUAAUAAAUAUCUUCCUUCUUGGGGGACUUCUGUUCGUUUUGAUUGCAGUUUUAUGGUAAGUUUAAAUUUCUUGCCCAAAAAUAUAUAUUUGCUGCAUAGCUUAUACAAUAUUGCAAGUCAAGUUACUCGUUUGAUUGAUUAUACUAAUCGUAUAAAAAAACAACACAUAGAAUAUGAUAGUUACAAACAUUAAUAAAUAUAAUGCAGAAGGAGCUUUUCACAUAGUCAGCGGCAUCGAGUUAUCGAACGUUUAUUUUAUUUUAGUUUAGUUUUGAUAUGUUUGUUGAAUUGUAUUUGAGGUCAAAAUAUAUACAAAAUAUGUGUAUAUAAUAACUCAAUGAACAGUCAUGAUUUUUUAACGGGGACGUAACACUAUUUGGCACUUGGAAAACAGUUCUUUGAUGGGUUGUCUCCAAAUUUUUUAUGACAAUACAAUGUAGAUUAGGUGCAUCUGACACUCAAUCAAUUAUGUUUUGAUUUGUGUUUUACAUCGUUUGGUUUUGUCAAAAGUAUAUAUGAAAACGCAUUAUAGAAGUAAUAACAUUCUUCAAAUAUCAUACGCAAACCGCACAUGCAUAUAUUUCUCCAAGAAAUGUUUUAACUGAGCUACUUAUAGAUUUAUAUGCCAUACACUUUUAGUUUGUUUGAACAUGAUUUAUCAAUAAUAAAAUUGAGAAAGGAAAUGGGGAAUGUGUCAAAGCGACAACAAUCCGACCAUAGAGCAGACAACAGCCGAAGGCCACCAAUAGGUCUUAAUAAGUUGUUAUUGGUUGACACUAGCUUUUAAUAAGAAUCUGAAAGUAAUCUUACAAUUUAGAUCAGUAUUUGAGUCCUUUUACUAUUAGAUCUCUAGUUUUCUGAUCUUUGUGUCGUCCGUCCGCUUCUGCUGAUAAACCAUUUAUACUUCAUAUUAUAUUAUCUAAUUAUUAUCAAACAAAAUGAAAAUCAUACAUGGUAUUGCUUGGAUGUCAAUGUGUAUUUCUUUGAAAAACAGUUAAAAUGGUCAUGUUUAUGUACAUUAUACCUGUUUAAUACGCUAAAGAAGUAUUUAAGAAAAACACGUAGUACAUGUGUAUAUAAAAGCCUACAUUAAUAUAUACAGUUCGUUAAAUCGUUAAACAAAUGCAGACAAAAAAAUGACAAUCACUAGACCAGUCUUCAACACAGAACACUGGUUUUUGUUCAUGAAUACAAAAUCGACCAAACAGGGGGAAUUCAAUAACUUCGUAAUGUUGUGUCGUGUGUGCUGUUGUUUGUUUGUCUUUUUCAUUUUUAGCCAUGGCGUUGUCAGUGUGUUUUAGAUUUAUGAGUUUGACUGUCCCUUUGGUAUCUUUCGUCCCUCUUUCGUAAAGGUCGAAAAUACUGAUUAAUUAACAGUUGUGCAAAUAGCCAAUGGUGGAGCAACGGUACCUCUUUUUUAAUAUAAACACAGUUAUUUCAAUUCUUUAGGAAGGCAUAUCUAAAAUCCCGAGUUAGAUGCUACGACCAUGCUACGGAACUUUCAUCGAAUCAAAGAACAACAGAGCAACCAGAUUCAACUGUUGAUGACCUUGACGGCAGUGAAACAUUUGGAGUUCAUUAUAGUGUCAUAAAUGAUUUGAGUUACAUGUAAAUAGUUGUUAACCAAAUUUAUGCAUAAACUUAUUAAAAGAAGAACCC